rnacentral:lncRNA from 1 species
AUGAGCCAGUCACCGCCCAACACCAUACAGCUCCAGUCUAUGGGUUCCCAGGGCACCCUGGCUCCCCUGCCACAGCCACCCGAUGUCCAAAAUCCCCCCUCUCACUCUUGGGCCUCUCUGUGUGGGCCUCCUCCCUGGGGCCUCAGCUGUCUUCUGGCUCUGCAGCAUAUCUUGGUGUUGGCUUCUCUGCUCUGCACCUCCCACCUGCUCCUGCUUCAAAGUCUCCCAGCAGGAGGACUCUCUUUCUCCCCUGCCCAGCUCCUGGCUUCCAGCCUCUUUGCAUGUGGCGUGUCUACCUCCCUGCAAACUUGGAUGGGCAGCAGGCUGCCUCUUGUCCAGGCUCCGUCCUUACAGUUUCUUAUCCCCGCCUUGGUGCUGACCAGUCAGAAGUUACCUCUGGCUCUCCGGACACCUGGAAACUCCUCCCUUGUCCUGCACCUCUGUGAGGGGCCUGGCUGCCAUGGCUUGGAACUCUGGAACACUUCUAUCCGAGAGGUGUCCGGGGCUGUGGUGGUCUCUGGGCUGCUGCAGGCCACUCUGGGGCUCUUGGGGGGUCCUGGCCACUUGUUCCCCCGCUGUGGGCCCCUAGUGCUGGCCCCCAGCCUUGUUGUGGCAGGGCUCUCUGUCUACAGGGAAGUAGCUCUGCUCUGCUCCACUCACUGGGGCCUGGCAUCGCUCAUCUGGGCUCCUGCCUGCUACCCCCACGCCCCUGGAGGCCAGCUUCAACCUCUUCAACCCAUACUCACAUCCUGGCCUUCAGGCUCCUCUCGGAGUUGUCUGCCCCCACCGGGGCACCAUGGUUUUGGCUGCCUCAUCCAGGCUGGACCUCGGCGAGUGGCCCACUUGGUGGGGCUGUUCUGCGUGGCGCUGGGGCUCUCCCCGAGGCUAGCCCAGCUCCUCACCACCAUCCCGCUGCCUGUGCUUGGUGGGAUGCUGGGAGUGACCCAGGCAAUGGUUCUGUCUAGUGGAUUCUCCAGCUUCCACUUGGCUGACAUUGACUCUGGGCGGAAUGUCUUCAUUGUUGGCUUCUCCAUCUUCACGGCCCUGUUGCUGCCGAGGUGGUUUCGGGAAGCGCCAGUCCUACUGAGCACAGGCUGGAGCCCCUUGGAUGUGCUACUGCGCUCAUUGCUCACAGAGCCCAUCUUCCUGGCGGGACUCUUGGGCUUCCUCCUAGAGAACACCAUUUCUGGCACACGGCUUGAGCGAGGCCUAGGGCAAGGGCUGCCACCUCCUUUUACUGCCCGAAAGGCUCGGAUGCCUCAGAAGUCCAGGGAGAAGGCAGAUAAAGAGUACGAGCUUCCUUUCUCCAUCCAAAACCUGUGUCCCUGCAUUCCCCAACCCCUCCGUUGCCUCUGCCCGCUGCCCCAAGACUCUGGGAAUGAGGAAAGAGGGCCCGCUGAGCCCAGAGAGACAGCUGACUUGCUGCCUGACUUUGGGGACCAGUGCCCUCAGCCUAGCAGAGGACAGUCCCAGUUA